AGUUGCCAUAUUGUAUCCCACACAAAGGCUAAUGGAACAUUAAAGACGCGGAAAACGGUGCCAACCCGUCUCGAAGACUCUUUGCUUGUUUUUAGGGCAGCUGCUCUCCACAGACACGGGCGCAAAGACGUGAAAAAAAAAGUUGAAACUACCAGGUGCAUCCUCCAAGAACAGGGCCGAGAUGCGCUUCAUUGGGUACUUGUUAUUAACAUGGAACAAGGGCUUGGACCCAGAUCCAGGACUCCGAGGCAGUGACAUGAUGACGAGGCUGGUUUUAUUCCAGGCUGAGUUCAUACACAGACCUUGGCUGUGCGGAUGAUGUUUUGGUCCCGGAGUUGCUUCUCAUCCGACCAGGAUAGCGAGUGACCGGCCAGAGGAGGGAGACCAAAGUCGGGGUCACUCGGGGAGGGAGACCCUGUGAAGGAGAAAACCACAAAGGACGUCAAUAUCAAGAUUUAUAAUGACUUUCUUGGGCUGCACGUGCAUGUCGUUGGUGGAAUUCCGGAUCGGCAGGUCCGACUGCACCAGUUCUGCGAGGAAGUUGAUGUACCCGAUGGCCAAGCGCAGAGUGUCCACUUUGGAGAGCCUCUUCUCGUAGGGGCUCCACCGUGAGGGGACAGGUCUGGGAUGCUGUAGGAGAAGGUGGACGAAGAAGAAGAAAAGGACAGGUUGCCUAUGUCAUAUUCGCCCUCUGGGCCGUGAUGGCCUGCUCUGUUGCCGCUCUCCUUGCUGGUGUUUCCGUCCCUCGAGGACUGGUCGGUGAAAAAGUCGUCAUCGUUGAAAUAAGGAGGGGAGGAAAAGGAGUCAAGGGCUGAGAAAGGGUCCAAUACGCUGUCCAUGCUUGGUGUCGGUGCCCUCGGUGCCUGAACAAUGACACUUUGUUCUGUCUUUGAUUGACUCGAUGCAACGUGGUCACCGCUCACUUCACUUUUCGCUGGAAGACAGGCACGCACGCGAAGCGCCUUUAUAGCGACAUCCGCAGUCGCGUGCCGCUUGCUCGAAACGCCAACCAAUCACGUUGCGGUCCGCCAAAGCGCACCUCGUGAUUAAACCUAGCAAAGCCACGCCCACGUGUGGCCACUUGCCCCCCGCUGCGGCCCAGCGUGGUCCAGACAGGCAACAAAACGGCUGUCAAACGCGUCCUUGACUCGGAAUCAUAGCAUUUCCAUUUGAAAAACGCGAACCACAAAGUUCCACAUAAUUCAAGCGUAGUCAACUGACCCAAGUGUCCCCUUAUUCCCGGAGUUAAAAUACUCAAAUUAUUUGUCGUAGUUGAACUUGUAAAACGGAUUUGGAUGUUUGAAAUAAAUAAAUUCAAAUUAUUUGUCAUUGUACAAAGAUCAAAUAAUGUUCGGUCCCACGUGAUGGCAAUGUUCUUGACUGACGUCAUUGUCCUUUCGUUGAAAAUAAGUUCGUUUAAGCCCCUUUCAAACAUGUGCAGCAGAUACGAGUUACAGUAACAUUUAUUCAAAUAGCAUAUUUUUACAUCCUUGAAAUAUGGUGGACUGGCGUAAUUGGUCUCGCCUUUCCUUGAAAAUAAUUAACGUUUAACCAGAUCAAUCAUAGCCAACACAAGUACAUGCUCCAAUAAAGUUAAUUCAAGUGAUUUUUAAAAGUAUUAGAUUUAAUAAGAUCCACUUGAUUGAAUUCACAUUUGAAUUCGUCAAUUUGUUGAUCUGAUUGAAUUCACAUUUGAACUCGUGAAUUCGUUUAUCUGUUGAUUGUAGCUACAUUCUAAGUGGAAUAGGGGAACACAUUUUUUCUGCUAUUAUUUUGAUACCGAUGUGAACAUAAUGGACCGAUUCCAAAAGGCACUGACGUUAAAAUAAUUUUAUAACAUUUUCAGGGGGUGGGGUCACACAAUUGUCUUGCAUAUGUAUAUUUCCAUUCUGAUAAUUAUGAUGAUGCAUAUUAGGAUAUUUUGUUAAGCAUCGACCGAACCUGCUGUUGCUGCAAGUGACAGGCAUUGAGCACAUACACCCGUGAUCUCAAGAGCCUCAGCGCGCUCAUUUAUUUCGCAAGAAGUGGGAACACUGCAGCCACAGCAGAGCAGAGUGGUCGAUGUGCGACUUGUGCCGGCCAGUGCGCUUUUUGAUUGGGAAAACUGGUUGAUAAAUAAAAGCACAGUGGUGGACCCGCGGGGUUUUGCACCGCUUUGACACCCCACGCAAUAAAAAAAUGCUUCGGGUACCGAGAGGACACCUUCCACCGGUUUGUUUAACUACUCAUCUAUUCAGGACAUUCACUGAAGAGUCAAUUUGUUCCAGGGGGGUGGAAUGGACCUUUGAUGCAGGAUGUGUGCGGCGCGCGCCCCACGCGUGUUGAAUGUGCGUGAAUGCAGCAACCGCGCAGGCAGGCAGCGGCCGUGGGAAGAAGCCCACUUGCGCCGCUAUCGUUGAAUGCGGCAACGUGUCGCGUCAAUGAGACUUGCGCUGCUCUCUGCAUGAUGAAGCUGUUGCACAUGCCUUAAAGCAGACACCUAACAGAACAGCCACCAAACAGGUACAAUAUAAAAUGAUUCAAGACAUUGACAAAGAAGAGGAAACUGGACAAGGCAACAACAUCAGUGACAAUACAAAUGAAAAAGAUCUUUAAAUGUGCAAACAUAAAGUGGGUACCUAAAGGAAAAUUGUUUUGUAAAGAAUGUAGGAAGAUGGCAAUAUAAAGUGUUAUGUAUAUUACAUUGUGUCUUCUUUGUGUGAUAGCUGUUUUAUUGUACUUGGUUGCCUUGUUUCAUUUUAAAGCACACAACUAGAACAAGGAAAA